rnacentral:lncRNA from 1 species
GUUGAGCUUCUGUAACAUCCCAAAAAUUAAAACCUUUCAUAUGCAUUGCAUCCAUAAGCAUCAUGCCACAAUUGAAUGUUUGAAUUCAAAUUUGAAUCUCAAAAGGCUUUAAAAGUUUUUAUUUCAAUUUAAACCUUAGGGUUUACACCCAUUUGAGCUUUGAAUUUUCAAACCAAUAAGGUUUAUUUAUAAAAGGGGUUUAUUGCAUAUAUAAGCUAUGCCAUAAUUUUUGGAUAACUAUUUGGAGUUGAAAAAGUAUUUUAUUUAAAUAGAUAUAUAGCCCUAAAGGCAUUUAUAGGGCAAAUGUAUUUUUAUGUAUUUUAUUUUGAAGGGAAACUACUCCCAAAAGUUGUAUCAUGGUGGAACAUGAUUUUACAAAUUUUCUGGAAUUUAUUUGGACCAAUUUGGAGUUCAAAAUCAAAAGUAUCAAAGAAAUGAGAAAAACAGAAAAAGAAAAGGGCUAAAAGAAAAAAAAAAGGGAGAAACGGACCGGCCCGGCCACUUUGGGCCGAACCGGCCCAUUCCUCACGCACGCGCGCGC